AUGGGCGUCGUCAAGGAAAUGACGCCUGUGGCCCUCUGCGUGCUAGGUGUCAUGUUCCUCGUCGGGAUGGCGGACAUGAGCGGUCUCCCCGGCUGCGGAAGACCGACGAGGAUGGAUCUCCAGGAGCUCGCGGCCCAGGUGCGCACCACCCUCGUGGGCACCGCCUCCUCGGCCGCCGGGAUACUCAUCUGGGUCGGCAAGGUGGCCGACGACCUGAGCGCCGCUGGGUGGGACUGGGAGAUGCGCGCGAUGUUCAUCGUCGGCGUCAACCUCUCCCUCGCCUCGUCGUUCCUCGCCCUCUCCGCCCUCGUCUUGGAGCUCUCCUGCGACCCCGUCGUCAACUACUGCAUCGCCGCGGGGCUCAUCGGCGUGCAUCUCGUAGCCGCGUGGGCGGUCCGUGGUCGUCUCCGAGCACUGAGGCUUCGUCGAGCAACCUAG
rnacentral:rRNA from 1 species